rnacentral:rRNA from 1 species
CUACGGGACGCUGCAGUGGGGAAUAUUGCACAAUGGGCGCAAGCCUGAUGCAGCAACGCCGCGUGAACGAAGAAGGCUUUCGGGUCGUAAAGUUCUUUUCUUGGGGAAGAAAAAAUGACGGUACCCAAGGAAUAAGCACCGGCUAACUCCGUGCCAGCAGCCGCGGUAAUACGGAGGGUGCAAGCGUUAAUCGGAAUUACUGGGCGUAAAGGGCGCGUAGGCGGCCCUGUUAGUCAGAUGUGAAAGCCCCCGGCUCAGCCGGGGAAGUGCAUCUGAAACUGCAGGGCUUGAAUAUGGGAGAGGAAAGUGGAAUUCCCGGUGUAGAGGUGAAAUUCGUAGAUAUCGGGAGGAACACCAGUGGCGAAGGCGACUUUCUGGACCAAUAUUGACGCCGAGGCGCGAAAGCGUGGGGAGCAAACAGGAUUAGAUACCCGGGUAGUC